rnacentral:rRNA from 1 species
AGUGAACGCUGGCGGUAGGCCUAACACAUGCAAGUCGAACGGCAGCACAGUAAGAGCUUGCUCUUACGGGUGGCGAGUGGCGGACGGGUGAGGAAUACAUCGGAAUCUACUUUUUCGUGGGGGAUAACGUAGGGAAACUUACGCUAAUAACGCAUACGACCUAAGGGUGAAAGCAGUGGAUCUUCGGACCUUGCGCGAUUGAAUGAGCCGAUGUCGGAUUAGCUAGUUGGUGGGGUAAAGGCCUACCAAGGCGAGGAUCCGUAGCUGGUCUGAGAGGAGGACCAGCCACACUGGAACUGAGACACGGUCCAGACUCCUACGGGAGGCAGCAGUGGGGAAUAUUGGACAAUGGGCGAAAGCCUGAUCCAGCAAUGCCGCGUGUGUGAAGAAGGCCUUCGGGUUGUAAAGCCCUUUUGUCGGGAAAGAAAAGCAUGACUCUAAUACAGUCGGGGGAUGACGGUACCGGAAGAAUAAGCACCGGCUAACUACGUG